rnacentral:ncRNA from 1 species
UUUACGGGGAGCUUGCGAUUGAGCGGGCUGAGAGUAGGCUGUUUGCCUUGACCCAUAACCUGAUUUGGAUAAUGCCAACGUAGGGAAUCUUAUUUU